GAUGAACGCUGGCGGCAGGCCUAACACAUGCAAGUCGAGCGGGGAAAGGUAGCUUGCUACUUUACCUAGCGGCGGACGGGUGAGUAAUGCUUAGGAAUCUGCCUAUUAGUGGGGGACAACAUCUCGAAAGGGAUGCUAAUACCGCAUACGUCCUACGGGAGAAAGCAGGGGACCUUCGGGCCUUGCGCUAAUAGAUGAGCCUAAGUCGGAUUAGCUAGUUGGUGGGGUAAAGGCCUACCAAGGCGACGAUCUGUAGCGGGUCUGAGAGGAUGAUCCGCCACACUGGGACUGAGACACGGCCCAGACUCCUACGGGAGGCAGCAGUGGGGAAUAUUGGACAAUGGGGGGAACCCUGAUCCAGCCAUGCCGCGUGUAUGAAGAAGGCCUUUUGGUUGUAAAGCACUUUAAGCGAGGAGGAGGCUACCGAGAUUAAUACUCUUGGAUAGUGGACGUUACUCGCAGAAUAAGCACCGGCUAACUCUGUGCCAGCAGCCGCGGUAAUACAGAGGGUGCAAGCGUUAAUCGGAUUUACUGGGCGUAAAGCGCGCGUAGGUGGCCAAUUAAGUCAAAUGUGAAAUCCCCGAGCUUAACUUGGGAAUUGCAUUCGAUACUGGUUGGCUAGAGUAUGGGAGAGGAUGGUAGAAUUCCAGGUGUAGCGGUGAAAUGCGUAGAGAUCUGGAGGAAUACCGAUGGCGAAGGCAGCCAUCUGGCCUAAUACUGACACUGAGGUGCGAAAGCAUGGGGGGCAAACA
rnacentral:rRNA from 1 species